CCUACGGGGGGCUGCAGUGGGGAAUAUUGGACAAUGGGGGGAACCCUGAUCCAGCCAUGCCGCGUGUGUGAAGAAGGCCCUCGGGUUGUAAAGCACUUUCAGUGAGGAAGAACGCCUGGUGGUUAAUACCCAUCAGGAAAGACAUCACUCACAGAAGAAGCACCGGCUAACUCCGUGCCAGCAGCCGCGGUAAUACGGAGGGUGCGAGCGUUAAUCGGAAUUACUGGGCGUAAAGCGCGCGUAGGUGGCUUGAUAAGCCGGUUGUGAAAGCCCCGGGCUCAACCUGGGAACGGCAUCCGGAACUGGCAAGCUAGAGUGCAGGAGAGGACGGUAGAAUUCCCGGUGUAGCGGUGAAAUGCGUAGAGAUCGGGAGGAAUACCAGUGGCGAAGGCGGCCUUCUGGACUGACACUGACACUGAGGUGCGAAAGCGUGGGUAGCAAACAGGAUUAGAUACCCUUGUAGUC
rnacentral:rRNA from 1 species